AGGAUAAUAGUUUAAAAAUAACAUUUAAUUUGCAUUUAAAAAAUAUUGGUUACCAAUUUAUCUUA
rnacentral:tRNA from 1 species